rnacentral:rRNA from 1 species
AUGAAGAGGAACGGUGCCAUUCUGGACCUUUUUCAAAAACAUGAAGAGAAAGCGAGGAAGAUUGCUACUAAACAUCACACUGAAGUUAUUGAAAAUGUGCGGUGUCCUAAUUCCCCACCUCCAAUCCAUUCCGAUACGGACAUGGAUACAGAUACUGAGAUCGAUGUUGAAAUUGAAGAUGCAAUGCCAAGUCUUCCAUCACCCCAACAGCCAAGUGCACAUGUCUUUUCAGGUGAUCCACGGAAAAGUACUCCUAUUUUAGAGUAUGCUUUUAAUGAUCAAGAUAGUGUUCGAAGAAGAUACAUUGCAAAAACUACAUGCCGACCAUAUGCACAUGCUUUUCAAGUCAGGAAAAUCUAUGGGAAACUAAUGGGGGGCCUAGGGGUGAUGCCUUUGUUAAAACUGGUUGGAGAAAUUGGAACAAACCUGAUGCACUGGACAAACAUAUGGGCGGUAUUGGUAGCAUUCACAACCAAGCUCAAGAGAAGUACAAUUUAUUUGUGA